GACCGCAGCGCCCGGGCUCCUCCUCCCGCGCUACCCAGGGAGGCGGGCUGUGCUCUUUUCAAGGUCCCGCCAAAGGGCCCCGCCCUCCCGGAGGGAGACCUAGCAGCCUUCCUUCCUACGCCAGGCCGGGGACCGCCGGACCGGAAGCUGCGGGGUCUCGGGGCCCCGGUUCGUUCUCGCCUAGCCGCAAGCCGCGGGUGCGCAUGCUCCGCGAAGGCCCGCACAGGGCCCGGGUGAACCCUGAUAGAGCCAUCGCGAGGCGGGGUUAUUGCUGGAAUGGUGGUGGUUUGGGGAACUCUUUUUUGGUGAGACGGUCAAGUGGGAAGGUGCACCCCAUUUCCAGUGGACUCCCACUUGGUGCUGGCUUGGCUUCCUGGAAAGAGAGUGAACAGUCAGAGCCUAAGAGCUGCCCCUGAACUCCACAGCCUUCACCUCGCCUCUUCCUGUUUGGAAGACCCAGGUCCAGUUAGCACCGUCCUGCUUCCCAACUAGGAGCCCGUCCACUGAGUCUGCAACUGUGUUUAAGAUGGAUUUGAGAAAAGAGAGCCUGGGGGCAGAGGAAAGGCACUAUGUAAAUGUAAUGCAAGUCAAUUUUGACUUUCCCACAGAAACAAUGUUAUAAAAGAGGAUUAUGCUCCUGGCCGUGGGUCUGACAUACAGAUUUUUAUAGAACUGACCACAAAACCAAACUCAAGGAACUAUAAUGGUAUACCCAUAAUCUCUACAUUACAAAGUUUCUAAACAGUAUAUGAAUAAUUAAAUAGGGCCACACAGUAACUAACCACAAAAAGAUAUGUAUAAUAUAAUAUAAUGACUUUAGUCUCUCAUUUCUACCCUUUAAGGAAUUUAUUGUUACAAAAGUAAUCUGUUUAUUUUUAAUAGCUUUAUUGAACUAUAAUUGACCUAUAGUGAACAGCACAUAUUUAAAGUAUACAAUGUGAUAAGUUUUGACAUAUUUAUACACCCUUGAAACCAUUACCACAGCAAGAAAAUGAACAUUUCCAUCACCCUAAAAGUUUCCUCUCAUGUAAUUCUUCUCCCACCCCUUCCCCAUCUACCAGUUCCCAGGCAAUCACUGAUCUGCUUUUUUUUUUUAAUAUUCUAGAAUUUUAUAUAAAUGGAAUCAUAUCAUAUGUACUCUUUUUAGUCUGACUUCUUUCAGCAUAAUUAUUUUUGAGAUGCAUCCACGUUGCAGCACAUAUAAAUAGUUAAUUCUUUGUUAAUAUUGAGUAAUAUUCCAUUGUACAGAUAUACCACAGUUUAUGUAUCCAGUCACCUGUUGAUGGACCUUUGGUUGUUUCCAGUAUUUGGUUAUUACAAAUAAAGCUACUAUGUGCAUUCAUGAAUAAGUCUUUGAGAAACAUAUGCUUUCAUUUCUCUGGGUGAAUACCUAGGAGUGGAAUGGCUGGAUCACGAUAGGUAUAUAUUUAACUUUUUAAGAAACUGUCAACAAGUUUUCCAAAGUGGUUGGUGGUUGUACCAUUUUACAUUUUCACCAGCGAUGUAUGCAAGUUCCAGUUCCUCCAUGCACUUGCCAAAACUUGAUAGGGUCAGUCCCUUUAUUUUAGCCAUUCCAAUAGGUUUUUGGUGGUAUCUCAAAUCUUUUAUCUGUUAUUGAUUAGAUUAUUUUCUUACUAUUACGUUUUGAGAGUUCUUUAUAUAUUCUGGAUACAAGCCCUUUAUCAGAUAUAUGAUUUGCAAAUACUUUCUCCAAGUCUGUGGUUCCUCUUUGCGUUCUCUUAAUAGUGUCUGUUAAGAGCAGACAUUUUUAAUUCGGAUAAAGUCCAAUUGAUCAAUUUACUCUUUUAUGGAUCAUACUUUUGGUGCUAUAUCUAAGAAAUUUUUGCCUACUCCAUGGUUGCAAAGGUUUUCUUCUAGAUGUUUUACUUACAGUUAAGUCUAUAGUCCAUUUUGAGCUAUAUUUUGUAUAUGGUGCAAAGUAUAGAUAGAGACCUUUUUGCUUAUGGGUGUGUCAUUGUUCCAGCAGUAUUUGUUGAAAACACCAUCUUUUUUGGACUGCAUUGCCUUUGUGCCUUUGUUGAAAAUCACUUGUCCUGUAAGUAUAGGAUAAUACUUGUAGGUCAAUUUCACCUCAAUAAAGCUGUUUUUUUAAAAAAGUAUAGGGUCUAUUUCUGGUCUCUUGAUUCUGUUCCAUUGAUGUAUAUUUUUAUGCCAAUAUCAAACUGUCUUGAUAUAUUGUAACCUUUUAAUAACUUUUGAAACCAGGUAGUGUUUUCCAACUUUGCUCUUCAAAAGUUGUUUUGAUGAUUCUCGUCCCUGGCACUUCCAUAUGAAUGUUAGAGUCAGUUUUCAAACCUCUGUUUAUUUUUAUAUACAAAAAACACAGAGAAAAAGGUAAAGAUCACAAUAAUCUCACCACUUAGAGACCAUCCCUGAUCAUAUUUUGGUUGUAUACUUCUUUUUUUUUAAGUCCUUGUUUGAUUUAAUUUUGGCCUCACGGCUUGCGGGAUCUCCGUUCCCCGACCAGGAGCUGAACCCGGGUCAGGGCAGUGAAAGCACCAAGUCCUAAUCACUGGACCACCAGGAAAUUCCCUUUGGUUAUAGAUUUUUUUCUAUGCUUUAAAAUAUUUGCUUUAUUAAAUGUUUUUGUAGCAUUAUAUGCUAAGCACUGUUUUUUUUAACAUUAGGUUUAUCGAAAUAUAUGUAUGGUGAAAUUCACUUUACAAGUGUAUGGUUUGAUGAGUGUUGACAAAUAUAUAGAGGCAUGUAACCACCAUCACAGUCAAGACGUGGAAUAUUUUCAUCACCCAAAAGUUUCCCUCAAGCCCUUUUACGGUCACUCCCCUCUUCCAACCCCGAGGAAUCACUGGCCUGAUUUCUGUCCCUAUACUUUCGCCUUUUUUCUAGAAUAUCACGUAUUUGGAAUCACAGUAUGUAAUCUUCUGUGUCUGUCUUCUUUCACUUCGCAUAUUGCUUUUGAGUUUCAUGCAUGUUGUAUAUAUGAGUAAUUUGUUCCUUUUAUUGCUAAGUAGUAUUCCAUUGUAUGGACAUACCAGUUUGUUUAUCCAUUCACCAGUUGAUGGACAUUUGGGUUGUAUCCAGUUUAGGGCAAUUGUGAAUGAAGCUGCUAUAAACAUU